UCUCAUGUCGCGAGUUGCCGUCAUAGGAGAGUAUAUCGUUGCUAAUGUGCCCCACAAGGAGCUCAAAGAUCUUGAACCUGAAAAAGUGGAGGCACAGAUUGAGGCUGAAAA
rnacentral:SRP_RNA from 1 species